rnacentral:rRNA from 1 species
GGCCUGUUGAUUUUAAUUUUAGGUCAGGCCUGCCCAAUGAGUUUUUAAUGGCCGCGGUAUAUUGACCGUGCAAAGGUAGCAUAAUUAAUAGUUUUUUAAUUGGAAGCUUGUAUGAAAGGUUUGAUGAGAAAAUUUCUGUCUCUAAAAAAAUUUAUUAGAAUUUUAUUUUUAAGUUAAAAAGCUUAAAUUUAUAUAGAAGACGAGAAGACCCUAUAGAGUUUUAUAUUUAUUUAAAUAAUUAAAUUAAAGGAUUAAAAAUUUAUUUGUUUAUUUGAGUAUUUUGUUGGGGUGAUAGAAAAAUUAAUUGAACUUUUUUUAAAUGUGAACAUUGAUGUGUGAUAUUGUGAUCCUAGAGUUUAGAUUAUAAGAUUAAAUUACCUUAGGGAUAACAGCGUAAUUUUUUUUAGAGUUCUUAUCGAAUAAAAAGAUUGCGACCUCGAUGUUGGAUUAAAAUUAAUUAGUGGUGUAGAGGCUAUAUUGAUUAGGUCUGUUCGACCUUUAAAAUUUUACAUGAUCUGAGUUUAGACCGGCGUGAG